rnacentral:tRNA from 1 species
AUUGCCUUGGCAGAAUUAUGCACUAGACUUAGGAUCUAAUAAUGUGAGUUUUAAAUCUCACAGGUAAUA